AGUGAACGCUGGCGGUAGGCCUAACACAUGCAAGUCGAACGGGGCAGCAAUGCCUAGUGGCGGACGGGUGAGGAAUACGUAGGAAUCUGCCCUUAAGUGGGGGAUAACCAGGGGAAACCCUGACUAAUACCGCAUGAUCUCUUCGGAGCAAAGAGGGGGACCGCAAGGCCUCUCGCUUCUGGAUGAGCCUACGUCUGAUUAGCUAGUUGGUAGGGUAAAGGCCUACCAAGGCGACGAUCAGUAACUGGUCUGAGAGGAUGAUCAGUCACACCGGAACUGGGACACGGUCCGGACUUCUACGGGAGGCAGCAGUGGGGAAUAUUGGACAAUGGGCGCAAGCCUGAUCCAGCAAUGCCGCGUGUGUGAAGAAGGCCUUCGGGUUGUAAAGCACUUUAGCCUGGAAAGAAAAAACUUUGGUUAACACCCAAAGUCUUGACGGUACCAGGAGAAUAAGCACCGGCUAACUCUGUGCCAGCAGCCGCCGUAA
rnacentral:rRNA from 1 species